rnacentral:rRNA from 1 species
CCUACGGGAGGCUGCAGUGAGGAAUAUUGGUCAAUGGACGAGAGUCUGAACCAACCAAGUAGCGUGAAGGAUGACUGCCCUAUGGGUUGUAAACUUCUUUUAUAUGGGAAUAAAAUGUUCCACGUGUGGGAUUUUGUAUGUACCAUAUGAAUAAGGAUCGGCUAACUCCGUGCCAGCAGCCGCGGUAAUACGGAGGAUCCGAGCGUUAUCCGGAUUUAUUGGGUUUUAAGGGAGCGUAGGUGGAUUGUUAAGUCAGUUGUGAAAGUUUGCGGCUCAACCGUAAAAUUGCAGUUGAAACUGGCAGUCUUGAGUGCAGUAGAGGUGGGCGGAAUUCGUGGUGUAGCGGUGAAAUGCUUAGAUAUCACGAAGAACUCCGAUUGCGAAGGCAGCUCACUGGACUGCAACUGACACUGAGGCUCGAAAGUGUGGGUAUCGAACAGGAUUAGAUACCCGUGUAGUC